rnacentral:lncRNA from 1 species
AGCACCCACAGCGCCAAGCUUCUGUGUCUUGGCUGGCUCCAUACAGCGUUUGCCACAGCCUGAGUGUCCCUUCUAGAGGCUGGGAAUCGCAAGGCUUGAACUGCACAGGCCUGAGACAGAGAGCAAGACCUCCUAACAUGUAGCAGAAAGCUAAGCCUGCCUGGCAGACAGGGAGCUGAGCUGUUUAGGAGGCUCCCCCCACCCCACCCCCAGCAGAUGACAGAGCAGUCCGUGAAGGCUAACCCGAUGGCAGCCACCCUGCAUUCUUCCCAGGACUUCAUGCACUCCUGCUCCUCCCCCAGGGUCAGCACAGCUAACCUCGCUCCGGUUCUGCUGAUGUGGCCACCCAGGAACAGGUUGAUCUACUGGGAUAGGAGAGCUGAGACUCCACAUGAGGAUAUUUUGCCUUAAACCUUGAGUGAUGAUGAAGUUGCUCUUUGCUUAUCUCAGAACCCAAGGCUAUUUUCCAAAGCACAGUGCUUCCCACCUGUUCACUCUGUCAGCGCUCCGCUUCUGAGGUAGAAAAGCCAAACAGGUCAAUUAUGCAAAUCUCCUGGUGCCGUAUUAAACUGUUUUCCAGUGCUGA